CACCGCGGUUAUACGGGAGGCCCAAGCUGACAGUCGCCGGCGUAAAGAGUGGUUAAUUAAUCCUAAAAACUAAAGCCGAACGUCUCCAAGGUUGUUUAACACAUUCGGAGAUAUGAAGCUCAACCACGAAAGUGGCUUUACACUCUUUGAACCCACGAAAGCUAGGGAA
rnacentral:rRNA from 1 species